rnacentral:tRNA from 1 species
UAGCUCAGUUGGUAGAGCAUGGCACUUGUAAUGUCAGGGUUGUGGGUUUGAUUCCCAC